rnacentral:lncRNA from 1 species
GCGGGAGACCGAGAUGGCGCGCGGCGUGACGGCGGCUACCAAGGGCGGCGCGGGCGCCGGGAAGAAGAAGGGGUCGGUCACCUUCGUGAUCGACUGCACCAAGCCCGUGGACGAUAAGAUCAUGGAGAUCGCGUCGCUCGAGAAGUUCCUGCAGGAGCGCAUCAAGGUCGCCGGGGGCAAGGCCGGCAACCUCGGCGAUUCCGUCACCGUCGCCCGCGACAAGAGCAAGGUCACCGUCACUUCCGACGGGGCCUUCUCCAAGAGGUACGGACGCGCCACCGCUUAGCCCCCUUCCCAGAUCCACGCGCACCCCGGUCCUGGCCAGGUGUAAUUCCUGGGUAGCAUUUGUUGAAUCCUACGGAGGGUGUAGGUUGUCAGUCAGCUAGUGGUGGAUCGCGAUUAGGAGUUCUUCCUCCAUUUGUGAUGGCCGGGUUGUGGAGCGCUUAGAAGUAAUUCUGUCGACGCAUGCUAAGCACGUUUUACCGUGAUAUCUUCCAAUGUCAGUCCAAUGUUAGAAGCUGAGAUGGCUAUCAUAUUAGUGGAUCCAUCACUGGCGGAUUUGCCGGUUGCACGCCUGUUUUAUAGUGGAAACUGUGAUCAGUAGUCACCACUAAUUACAUAUUCCGACAUAGAACUAGGUUGUGGCUAGUCAGUUACAGUUGAUGUUGUAGUAGGAGUAAUUGUUUUUUGUUUUGUUAGUCAAUGUUUCAUUAGCCAUGACAAUUCUGGAUAUAGUUUUUUCAAAUCUUUAUUGUCCAUUUUAGUAGUAAAUGUUUUUUGCACUGCAUCAUAUCAGUUGCAAUUCCUUCUUAAAAAGGAGUAUUGCUUUGUUCUCCAGUUUAGUACUCAAUGUUUUCUUUUUGCACUGCAUCAUAUCAGUUGCAAUUCCUGCUUAAAAAAGAGUAUUGCUUUGUUUUCCAGUUUAGUACUCAAUGUUUUCCUUGUCAUGAACAGUGGCUCCUGUGUUCAUAUGUUUCUUUUCUUCAUGCUAUCCUCUUAUGUUUAAUCUCAUGCAUUCUCAUUUUCGCAGGUACUUGAAGUAUUUGACAAAGAAGUACCUGAAGAAGCACAAUGUGCGUGACUGGCUUCGGGUGAUUUCGUCCAACAAGGAUCGCAGCGUCUACGAGCUCCGGUACUUCAACAUUGCUGAGAAUGAGGGUGAGGAGGAGGAUUAGAUAUGCACUGUCUUGUUUCUGUGUCGUGUGA